CUUAGCUACACAUUUAUUUUAUGUAUCUUAUCUUUCUUCGAAAAAUGAUUUAUAGGCUCUUAGACAAGCCUUGCAUAAGUGUGUUGAUAUCUAUGCAUCAAAUUACGUUCUUUGUGAAUAUGCACUAAUUUUCUCAGUUUCACGUGACUUAUAUAUUGCUUCCGGAUAUACAUGCUAUUCUCCUGCUAUCGAAUUAUGAGAACUAUUACUCGUUCUUUGCAAGUACCAACUCUCUAAGUAAUCAUUUGUUUAUGGGUGAAUUGUAGUCGAUAAAACCUAAAGCACUUGUUCCAUUGUUAAUGAGUUUAGCAAUUAAUUACACAAAUUUACUGUUCAGGCAUACUCCUGCAGAUGCCCCUUCUUUAAUCAUGCGGAUGUCUAUAUAACAUGACACAUAUUCAAUAUAUGUUAUGCCAAUAGAACUCGUGUUUUCCACCCAUGUACAAAGUUGCAUGAUAGCCAUUCUUGUUCAGUGUGUAAUGUAAGAAGUUGCGCAUUUAUACAGCAUUUACAUUAUUUUCGCACUGCAUAUACUGGUCAUGAGUUAGAAAGCAACCUUUUAGUAGCACUAAAAGAAGGCUUGGUCCAUGACAAUUUGCCAUAUUGCACUUGUUACCCUAAGUAAUCUAAUAUGUUGGCACUAAAUAGAUAAUUUACCUUCUCUUUAUGCUUUUUUAGAAAUAUUCCAGUCCAAUUGAUAAUUAGAACAUAAAAGCGAGAACUGCGAUUUAUGGUUGCUCACCUUUUCAUGAAAGGAGAACCACAGUACUGGACUAUAACUGAAACCAGGGCUGUCUUCAUAAUGUUUCUUAUUCUCCCUUCCUUUCCAACUUCUGUUUUCCUCAGCUGCUGGUGCCUGGCUCUAUAUUCUACCUUAAAUCAAUUAUUUCCUCAGAGUGGCAACAAUGCUGCAGUAGAUAUUACUCUUGCAGGAAAUAAUGCACAUUAAUAGCAGCGCUUUCAAAAUAGAAGUUGUUUGUUUUGUUUGUGGUCUUUACUGUAGAUAGCUCUGAGUAUUACUUGUUCUCUCGUCAUUGAUCAGGUAACCAAACUGUAGUUUAGUAAUUAAAUGUUGAUAUUUAGUCCAAGAGAACACGAUUUUACAGCUGACGAGAAGGUUUGGUGCUAUUAUAUGCAGAUGGAGUUGGGCUUGUUGAACCAUUCCAUUUAAAAAUUUAAACUCGUAAAUAUCAUCCAUUAUGCUCCCUCUGCAUACAAAUAGUCAUUUAAAUUCAAAAUGCCUCACGGGGGAUUUUAUAUUAUGGGGUGUAGUGCACCUCGAAUCCAAUUCUUAUGUCGUACUCUGGUACUAUGUUAAACCACAUCAUCUAAACGCUUCAACUAUGAGAAAG
rnacentral:lncRNA from 1 species